rnacentral:rRNA from 1 species
UACGAAGGGGGCAAGCGUUGUUCGGAAUUACUGGGCGUAAAGCGUGCGCAGGCGGUUUUGUAAGCCAGAUGUGAAAUCCCCGGGCUUAACCUGGGAAUGGCAUUUGGGACUGCAAGGCUUGAGUGCGGCAGAGGAGACUGGAAUUCCUGGUGUAGCAGUGAAAUGCGUAGAUAUCAGGAGGAACACCGAUGGCGAAGGCAGGUCUCUGGGCUGACACUGACGCUCAUGCACGAAAGCGUGGGGAGCAAACAGG